CCCACGGAUAGGCGAUUACCAAGAGACACCGAGGUGUGGGUCCCAGAGGCGGUACGGUGUUUUCGUCCGCUCCGGAUGGCUAGUCCCAGGUUGCCGGUCGGGGUACUACCCACCCACCGCGACUAGCACAAGGAGUGCUGAACUGAGCUAUGCAAAGUUCUGACCAGAAGGUGGAACGGUACUUCUGGGGAAGAGGAUUUAUUUAGGAAUCGAAAUCGGUUUUGCUAAAUUAGACAAAUCUAAUUGUCUAAGCAGCCACGCUCUGUCCGCAGGAGGGGAGGGAAGACUAACCAACGCCCCAGCUCGCCAACGGCAACUCAGCUCGGAACUAGACUCUCAAGGAUGCCUGGGUUUCCGGAGCAACCGCCCGGUCCCUCCCCCUUUGGCCCCGCCCCCGAGGCUCUUUCCCGCCAAAGGCAGUUAUCGCCGCAGAGCAUGGUGGGACAAGGCUCUAGGCUAGGUUUCACCAAGUCCUUUCAAGGCGCCGAGUUGCUUUCAGAGAUCCUCAUUCCUGGGGAAAUUGACUGUCCUUCAAGACCCGACCUGGAAGACUAGCUCCUUUGGCGAGAGUUCUUUAUUUAACUUUUACCAAACGGCUAGUCCCUCUAUUCGCAAACCACCCCAAGCCGGGAAAGCGGGGGACUUUUUUUUCCCCUUCGUGCGGAGGGUGACGUCGCGCGUGCGUGCGCGUGCGUUGAGCGUAGUCUUCGCAGCAUCCCGUUGCGCUCCCGCGCGUGCGUGUUGGAAUCGAAUCGCUGUUUCCUUCCGCUUCUCUUCCUCUGUCUCCCCCCCAUAUCCGUGCGCCGAGCUGAUAAAGGCGCCAUUUUGGAGGGGCCGCGGGAGACGUGGUGCCGCUGCGGGCUCGCUCUGCUGUGCGCUAGGCUUGGUGGGAAGGCCUGUUCUCGAGUCCGCGCUUUUCGUCGCCGCCAUGUCGGGAGGUGGUGUGAUUCGUGGCCCCGCAGGGAACAACGAUUGCCGCAUCUACGUGGGUAACUUACCUCCAGACAUCCGAACCAAGGACAUUGAGGACGUGUUCUACAAAUACGGCGCUAUCCGCGACAUCGACCUCAAGAAUCGCCGCGGGGGACCGCCCUUCGCCUUCGUUGAGUUCGAGGACCCGCGGGACGCGGAAGACGCGGUGUAUGGUCGCGACGGCUAUGAUUACGAUGGAUAUCGUCUGCGGGUGGAGUUUCCUCGAAGCGGCCGUGGAACAGGCCGAGGAGGCGGCGGGGGUGGAGGUGGCGGAGCUCCGCGAGGUCGCUACGGCCCCCCAUCCAGGCGGUCUGAAAACAGAGUGGUUGUCUCCGGACUGCCUCCAAGUGGAAGUUGGCAGGAUUUAAAGGAUCACAUGCGUGAAGCAGGUGAUGUAUGUUAUGCUGAUGUUUACCGAGAUGGCACUGGUGUCGUGGAGUUUGUACGGAAAGAAGAUAUGACCUAUGCAGUUCGAAAACUGGAUAACACUAAGUUUAGAUCCCAUGAGGGAGAAACUGCCUACAUCCGGGUUAAAGUUGAUGGGCCCAGAAGUCCAAGUUAUGGAAGAUCUCGAUCUCGAAGCCGUAGUCGUAGCAGAAGCCGUAGCAGAAGCAACAGCAGGAGUCGCAGUUACUCCCCAAGGAGAAGCAGAGGAUCACCACGCUAUUCUCCCCGUCAUAGCAGAUCUCGCUCUCGUACAUAAGAUGAUUGGUGACACUUUUUGUAGAACCCAUGUUGUAUACAGUUUUCCUUUAUUCAGUACAAUCUUUUCAUUUUUUAAUUCAAACUGUUUUUGUUCAGAAUGGGCUAAAGUGUUGAAUUGCUUUCUUGUAAUACCCCUUUGCUCCUAACAUCUACAUUCCCCUCGUGUCUUUGAUAAAUUGUAUUUUAAGUGAUGUCAUAGACAGGAUUGUUUAAAUUUAGUUAACUCCAUACUCUUCAGACUGUGAUAUUGUGUAAAUGUCUAUUCUGCCCUGAUUUGUGUGAACUGGGAUGUUGGGGGUGUUUGUGGUUAUCUUACCUGGGGAAGUUCUUAUGUUUAUCUUGCUUUUCAUGUGUCUUUCUGUAGACAUAUCUGAAGAGAUGGAUUAAGAAUGCUUUGGAUUAAGGAUUGUGGAGCACAUUUCAAUCAUUUUAGGAUUGUCAAAAGGAGGAUUGAGGAGGAUCAGAUCAAUAAUGGAGGCAAUGGUAUGACUCCAAGUGCUAUUGUCACAGAUGAAAUUGGCAGUAUUGACCUUAUACUAAAAGGCAGGGGGUAAAAAUGAUUAUAUACAUUUUCCUUAAAACAUUUGAAUGUUUUAUUCAGUUAUCUUUAGCUACAAUUGCUGUGCUCUUUAAACCUUGGCAAUUGUGGCGAAAUUAUGUUGCCCAUUUUGUAGCAACUUAUUUUGCUCCCUUCCCCCCAUUUUUGUUAUAAUAGGGACUAAUGUGGGAAGAACUGGCUAAUUUGUCACAGUGCUUAGUUACAACUGUUAAUGUGUGACCUGCUGUUGGUGUACAUGUGGGUACAGGGUGUCUUUAAAUCCAACAAGAUAGAGUAUAAUAUCAAUACUGCUAAAUCUGCAUGUCCUCUGUGUGACUGAUAGAGCGUUGCUAUUUCAUUUUUUUAAGACAAAAUGAAAGCAAAAUAAUAGAGUUCCAAUGUAUUGGUGUAGAUAAUCUAGUUGGGAAUACUUAGGUCUCACCUUCCCCUUUAAUAUUCAUAAUUGAUUCAUAUGUUUAAAACACUUUAAUUUACAAAUUAAAUUGCAAAUGGGAGCAUUAGAUUUAGUUUUAGACUUAGGUGGGUAGCAAUGCCAGUAAACUUAAAUUACAUAACUUCUUGCAACCACGAAACCUGUAAUACGCUGUACAGUAACAAGUGUUGGCAUUAUCAGUUGAACUGUAAAUAUAAGAUGCUUCUUCCAAUUAGUCUCUAUAAUGAUUAAGUUUCUAAAAUUUAUCUGAACACCAUUCAGAAACUUGUUUUGGGGAAUUUGAUAGUUAUUGAUGUGCAUCUGUUAAACUGAUGACUGACAUAACUCAUCAUUCCCCAGAAACCUUUUUUGAUUACAGUAUCUAACGUUUUGCCUCCUCUUUUUUGGUUUUGCUGGUUAUAAAGGUUUGGAUUGGAGAGGGCUCACUGGAUCCCAAUCCUUGGAGCUGGAUCAUUGGAUUCAAAUCAUAAUGUGGAUAGGAUAGGGAGGAUGAAUUACCAGGAUUCAUGGAGCGGGAUCAGAUUACCAGGAACAUAGGAGUGGAUUCCUGCCCCAACCAAACCGCAUUCGUGUGGAUUUUUUUAUUCAACUUAAUUGGCUAUUCCAAAGAUUUUUUUUUUCCUAUUUUUGACGAUUGGAGCCCUUAAGAUGCACGAUGGAAUUGUGUUUUGCAUUUUUUGGUAAAAGGAGCAAAGCGAGGACCUGGAGAUAAACGCUGGAGCAAUCUCCUUGGAAGGAUUCAGCACGAGUAGAUGGUAAACAUUUAAAGGGGAAAGGGGGGGUUUGUUUAAAAUAGUAAAUCAGUAAGUCACUUCUAAAUUUAAAGAAAACAAAAUUGGAGUUGAAGAAUAAGUAGGUUUCCAAUUGGCUAUUGCCAUUUUUCUUUGAAAAAAUAAACAUUUUUUAAAAAACUAUGCAUGGUUGUCCUUUUUCCUCUUCAUGUAAGAUUCUAACUGGGUCUAUCAGUUAAUCUUUAAAUUGUUAAGUAAGAUAAGAUUUUGACUCUUGUGUUUAUAUGUUAGCAAAUUAAAAGUUCUUAAAAGGCAAUCUAAUGGUAUUAGCUAUCUUUUAUUGUUAAUUGUAAAAGUCUUCAGGGGAAGGCAAAAGGGGAAUAAGGCAUUUGUAUAUGUAACAUGGUAAAUGAUGGUGGGGGGUGGAUCUAGCAUCUGAAACAUAAGCUUCUCUACUUUGUUAUAAAGUGAUUUAAAAACUACAGAUGCUGCAUAUUUUCUGGUAGUCAUAUAGGCAGCAGGCUUUUGUGCAAAAUUGGUUGAUGGCUGGUAAAUUAAUGUUCACUUGGAGAUAGUUUUGAUAUUCUCAAACUCAGCUCAAAAAAAGGUAAGUAUUAAAUGUUAACAUCAGCACAGAUGUAUUAUUAGAACUGGUUUUUGUUUUUGAGGCAGAGAGUCUAGCUCUAUUGCCCAGACUGGAAUGCAGUGGUGUGAUCUGGGCUCACUGCAACCUCCGCCUCCUGGGUUUGGGUGAUUCUUCUGCCUCAGUCUCCCGAGUAGCUGGGAUUACAAGUGUGUGCCACCUCGUCCAGCUAAUUUUGUGUUUUUAGCAGAGAUGAGUUUUCUUCAUGUUACCCAGGCUGGACUUGAAACUCCUGGCCUCAAGUGAUCUGCCCACCUCUGUUAAGACUACAGGUGUGAGCCACCGAGCUUGGCCUGUGGAACUUUUAACACAAGUCAUUUCUUUUUUGAAAGGAAGAGUGCACAAGAUUAACUUAUUUGGAUGAAUCGUUGCUAGUAAAAAAGCUGGGCAUUUAGAAUUGCCUUAUAAGCCGUUCUCAACCAUAAGAUUAUUUUGUACCUGAAACUUCGGUGUUCUCUACCAAAGCAGUUGUUAAAACUUGUUGUCUGCUGCUUUUUGUAUUUGUCUACUGACAGCCCCUUGGGGGAAGGGACCUAAAAUCUCAUUUCCUAACUAGUCACAACCAUCAAAUCACUCUUAUGCACCCAAAAUAACUAGACUUUACGUUUCCCUUGGGUGCUAAUUAUAGUUGAAAGCUGAAUUUAAGGUGAUUAUUCAGGUGACAAUUCAAAACCUAGGGAAAAUUAGAAAUAAUCUUAGUAGUGAAAGAAAGGGACUCUAAGAUAUUUGUGUGAGGUCACCCCAGCCAGUAGAUUAUGAUGAACCUUGUGGAAUGUCAGUAAGGGGAUGCUAAGUUCAAUGCAGAAUUAGUCACUAAGUAAAGCACUUAGUGUAAAUGUAUUAAGGAUGUAGCUCUUUUUAUGUAAGAAUUCAAUAUAAUGGCCAAAAGGCAGAAAGAUUUACUGUUUAAAAUUUGAAUAAUUUUACAUGACAUUCUUGAAGUUCUAAGUUCUGUUUCAUGUGUAGAACAUUUUAGAAAUUCAUCAGAUUAAAGGGAAAAUAAAUGAUUAAUAAUUUGGAAAGGUAAAUGUGAGCUAGGCUUAAGCAAACUUUGGUUAUUUGUGUUCAUUGGAUGUUUUAGAAACAACCAAAAUAUGUAAAUGACCUUCACUCAAGUUUGUGAAUGUUUUAAGUUGAAAGAUGUGCUCUACUAAAAGAGUAAUUCUAACCUCAAAUUGAAAGAGAAAAUACUCCAUGUUAUAUAGGCUGUAUUUGAAUAUUCUAUGGAUAGGACAGUGUUUGUUAAUGAAAGGUAAAGGGGCAUAGAUUUUGUAGUUAAGAUGAGCAGAUGGCUAAAAGCUGUGAUGGGAAGUAUGGACUGCUCCUGUUUAUAGUGGACCUUUAGGUCUCUAUCCGUAUUGGCAAUUGUUAGAAGAAAGUUACACCCUUUUGAAACUCAAAAGCUGUCUUGGACUUUCCUCUUCUCCCUAUUUAUGUCCCCUUAGAAUAUUGUAGGGAGCCUAUAAUUAUUUUCUAACCAAGGAAAAACUUAAGUCUCUUUAAGAAGCAAUUGCUUUUCAUAACAUCAGAUUGAAUAACCCACCUUGCUGUUCAGCCCACAUCCUACUGGAAACAAAAGACCCAGGAACUUGAAUCCAUAUUUCCCAAUGGGCUAAAUGCAGUGCCUACAGUUUAAUAUUGAUUGGCAAGAUGGAAAGAACUAAGUAUUCCCUAAAAGCAAAGCACUGUGGCCAUUUGUGAGGUAGAUAUUUUGUUCUCAUUUUCCAGAUGAGGAAGCUGAGACCCUAAAAGCCCUAAAAGGUUAGGUGACAGGUUAUACAACUUGGAGUGUGGGAGGAGGAGAGAGGAACCUGAACAGGGCAAGUUGGGGAUCUGAUUUUUGUUUCGGGGGAAUGUAGGCACAUUGUAUUUUUGGCUUAGACACUUUAUUCGUCGUGGCUGAAGGUAAUGUCAUUUACUCACUAAAAAUUGUUUACAAUAAUCAGAAUGAAUUUACUGUGUUUGAACAUCUGCUCUCUUUUGACCAAACCACAGUAUAUAGUCUGUGGAAGCUCACUUAAGGAGAGGGUUCCUUUUUUGUUUGGUUAGAGAAAUUGUCUGUCCUGAAGGUAGAAAUAGCCCCUUCUAGGUAGGGAUGGAGCAUUUGAUCUACUGGUUUCAUUAUAUUCCUCUAACAGUUGCAACUGAUUGUUUUUGAGUACUUGUUUCAAACUUUUGAGUAUUUUCCUUCUGGAAAAUAGCUCAGUGUUUAAAAUUUAUCUGAACUUGAAAGAUUAAUUCUUUUUCAGGGUGUCUGAGGAGUAAUCAGUUCUGGUUUUGUCUUAAGGAUAGAAAUAGAAUUAGCCAUUUUCCUCAAGAAAAGUGAUUCUUCUGAAUCUCCACUCUUCAGUAAUGAGAACUGGACUGUUUUCAUUUGACCUCUGUUUCCUGUCAGUGGGAAACCCCUCCCCAGAGGUGCUGUGUGAAAGAUUGCCGGGGAAAGGGUUUCUAGAUCCCAGCAUCAUAAGUUCAAGAGAGCCCAGUGAUACUGUCAUUAGAAUAAUGUCUUUACUUAGUACCAGUUUUCAUAAUCCUGAAGCUUCAUUUUUUACCAGUUUGAAAGGCAGCAGCUAGGGAGGAGAGACUAUGCAGGGAAGGGGGAAAACUGAGUAGUGCAUCACAGAGACCUUGAGUGUGUUAAGGCAGGGAAGAUUUGCUAUCCAAUUAAUGAAAAUAAAAGGACUUGCAUUGUCCAAAGUCAGAGCAAGAACAUAAAGGUUUUAAUUUGUCUAGUUAAUUCCUUAGGUUUGGACUUUACAGGAGACAUGGGGGUCACCGAUAGCAAUUUAGCUGAGAAAUUUAUCAGAAACUCUUUCAUCAUUUUCUGUCCCCUCCUGUCUUAGGCUGACCGGUUCUGAUGUGUUACCUGCUUCUGCUACUGAUCCAAACUGCAGAACUUCUCAUUCAUCCCCAAGGCCUCCAGGCAGUAUCCAAUGGGGAAUCAGCUCUAAAAGGAACCAGACCAACGUUUUCCAGCCCCUUCAUUCUGGUGACUGAGGGGAGGAAAGAAUGGGAGGGGGUAUACUUGUCUAGUUGAUGGAAAGAAAACACACAGUCAAAUAACUUUAUCUCCUUGGUUUUCUAUUACAGUAGAAUUCUGCAGCCAUAUUUUUCUUGUGUAUGUAUGGGGGAAGUUUUGGAGAUGGUGACCUUGAUUAGAAGUGUCUAGAGGGGAUAAGAGUCAGCCGGUUUUGGAAAACGUUGAAGUCUUAAUGUGUCCAUCUGAAGAAUUUUUUUCUAAAACCGGAGUUUACAGAAAUAUCACUGAUACAGCCUGCCCCCUCAUUUCCCUGCCACAGGCGAUGUCUUGGACUAGAGACGCUUGUUUAAUAAUAGCUUGUCUCUGAUAUUCCCAGUAGCUACCUCUGUGUGAGGAAAGGAUAGAAAUGUUCAGGACAUCAUCAUACAGGCUCCUCAUCUACAAAGUUCCAGUAGCAGGGACGCCUACAAGGAAGACUUGGAACUGCAAACAGAGGCUGGGGUCACCUCAGUGACAUCUCCUGACGCUGUCCAACCAGAAGUUCGAUUUUUGUUCUGGGGGUGAAGAAGGAAACAGACUGUACUAAAGGACUAAAAUAAUUUCUUGUCUAUAC